ensembl:lncRNA
CCAGUGUGAAAUAGACGUAAUACUCAACUGAUGCUCAGUACGUCAUCAUCGCUUAACAGUUCAACAUGCUAAUAGACAAUAGAAAUGUUAUGUAAUGUUUUAAAAGUAGAUAUGCGCAAUUUUAAUGGGCUGUGUAUAAUUAAAUUGCUGCUUUUUUAUAUGUAGGUCAAACAAAAAUUAAUUUGCCAAAAAGAAAUAUUUUGUGUUUUGUUUUGUGUUCCGUAUCCCCUGCAAUCACAAUCUCUUUACAGCUCUUUACAUUUUCAGAUGCUUGGAAACAUGAUGUCAUGGGAACUUUGUUGUAAAUUUGAGCUUGAUUGAUGCACUUAAGACCAAACCAGUUCCAUUUUUGUCCUCCAUCUUCAUAGAAGGUGCCUUUUGAAGUAUUAAGUAACUCGCAAAAGCUUCGGGACUUUGUAUUGAAGCCUAGCUGAAUGCAUAACAUCGGUGACCUGCCAACUCAAGGGUCUGUAAAACAGGAAGUCCAUGGAAGCCCCAUCAGCUAAUGACAUGGUGGCUCCUUGACUGUCAACACAUUUCUCAUCCAUCUGCAGUUUACGUUAAUUCUCUUGGAUAAACUCAAAUACAUUCCAAACUCUACCACACUGUACAGCUGUAAGUUUGAUUUAUGUUUUUUUUUUAUGUUUUGUUAUUGUUUAUUUAGCAAUAAUGGAUUUUAUAAGUAUAACUACUAUAUAAAUGUGUAUAAAAGGAUAACAUUUUGAAUCUAGAGCGAAACGGAACUCAGUUUGACUCAAUGCUUUCCUGAGCCAGGCUUUUAACACUGUGAAGUGAUCAUUUCUGUCACAGUUGUUUAUUUUUUGUUGUUGUUGCUUUUGUGCAAUGCACUGAAAUUUUCUGUUUAUAACUGUGUAUGUACAGUAUGUGUGCCUAAAUGCUGUAUGACUGAGUGUAUGUGCGCUUUACCUGCACUGCACGUGCCCAUGUUUUUUACCAUAACCACUAGUGAAUGCCAUUUUUAUUUUUUUAUUUUUUAUUUUUUUUGCCCUAAAUCAGUGAAAUGUUAUGGUUUAGGGGAGCUUUUAGUGUUUGUUUGUUUGUUUGUUUGAGGAAAGAUGGAGAACUUCAGGCUCACUGAUAAUAAUGUUAUCUAUUAUUAGUAAUGCCAGUCAUUUAAAUAUCAUAUAUUUCAUGUUUACCUCAAGGCUGUGGUGGAGCUAAACUCAAAAUUUCUUACAAAACAAGACUUGUACUGAGAAUUAGGCAUGCCAGUGCUUUAGAGGUCCAUGUCAAAAUGAAAAUGGCAAACUUCCAGCUACAUUUAUCAGUGUUAUUAAUUCAUUUCAGUUGUCAACAGUAAAAACACCCUGUGAUAUGAACUCUGUCAUAUUAGUACUUCUGUUGUUGUGUUUUUUUUAAGAGUAUAAACAUCUUAUAAGCCUCAAAGUGUAUGGUCCCAGUUUAAGCAUCAUGUUCCAUUAGCAAAUAACAUGCCAUUGAGGGCUAUAGAAUCAAAUAUGAUUGUUUUUUUUUUUUGUAGUAACUGUGUAUAAUGUGCUAAUAUGAGUAAAGAAUGAUGUAUAACAGGAGGAUCUGGCCACUCUAAUUUCUAACGGAGGUUUAAUUUGUCAAUGUGCCAUUGUUAUUUUCACUUACUAUUGAGUUGUUUUGCUGAUAGUGACUUAAUUGUAAUUUUGUAAAAACUGAUUUUUACAUAUCUGUAUUAUUUUGAAGCAGCAGUUUUUCUUUUCUUUUGCAUAAUAUGUAAAAGUCCAUAGCCCUUUCAUUUAAGGCCAAAGGAAUGUGUUUUGUUGCAAUGAAAACUGUCUUGUAACUAUUUAUCCCUGUUUUUGAAGCCUUAUUUGUAUGUGAUAAAAAAAAACAAAAAAAUGGUUUCUGGAUUGCACAUUGAAUACAGUUUUUUGCUGAAUUCAAUAGUUAAUUCUCACUCAGGUUACUGCCAUCGUUAUGUAAGUUUUUAUUUGCUUAAUAUUUGUACACAGCCUUACUGAUAAAGUAAUGUCAAGUUUCUGGUUUAUAUUUGUCCAUUUUAAAGUUGCAUAAAAGACAUGCCACUUGGAAUGUUGCUUAUAGACUUUGGUGUGAAUUUGUAUUGAUGAUGAUGAUUGAAGGAGUCAGUAAACCUUUUUUUUUUUUCUUGUCAAAGCACUGAUGCUGUUUUUCCCUCUGUUUAGUUUCUGCUGUCUGUCUCUGGCCUGUGAAGCCUGUACAUUGCGCAUGGCCUCAUGCAGGUCUUUUGUGUAACAAACCGAAUUUUGUUUGUUUUCCUUUUUUCUGCAG